rnacentral:tRNA from 1 species
GUUAAUAUAGUUUUAAAACAAACAUUUAACUGUGGCUCUAAAAAUAGGAGUUUAAACCUCCUUAUAAACC